rnacentral:rRNA from 1 species
AUUGAACGCUGGCGGCAUGCCUUACACAUGCAAGUCGAACGGCAGCACGGGUGCUUGCACCUGGUGGCGAGUGGCGAACGGGUGAGUAAUACAUCGGAACGUACCUUAUCGUGGGGGAUAACGCAGCGAAAGCUGUGCUAAUACCGCAUACGCCCUGAGGGGGAAAGCGGGGGAUCGCAAGACCUCGCGCGAUUAGAGCGGCCGAUGCCUGAUUAGCUUGUUGGUGGGGUAAAAGCCCACCAAGGCGACGAUCAGUAGCUGGUCUGAGAGGACGAUCAGCCACACUGGGACUGAGACGCGGCCCAGACUCCUACGGGAGGCAGCAGUGGGGAAUUUUGGACAAUGGGGGCAACCCUGAUCCAGCAAUGCCGCGUGAGUGAAGAAGGCCCUCGGGUUGUAAAGCUCUUUUGUCAGGGAAGAAACACCGGCUCUAACACAGUCCGGGAAUGACGGUACCUGAAGAAUAAGCACCGGCUAACUACGUGCCAGCCGCCGCGGUAA